rnacentral:rRNA from 1 species
AGUGAACGCUGGCGGCAGGCCUAAUACAUGCAAGUCGAACGGCAGCACAGCAGAGCUUGCUCUGUGGGUGGCGAGUGGCGGACGGGUGAGGAAUACAUGGGAAUCUGCCCAGUCGUGGGGGAUAACGUAGGGAAACUUACGCUAAUACCGCAUGCGCCCUUCGGGGGAAAGCCGGGGACCUUCGGGCCUGGCGCGAUUGGAUGAGCCAUGUCGGAUUAGCUAGUUGGCGGGGUAAUGGCCCACCAAGGCGACGAUCCGUAGCUGGUCUGAGAGGAUGAUCAGCCACACUGGAACUGAGACACGGUCCAGACUCCUACGGGAGGCAGCAGUAGGGAAUAUUGGACAAUGGGCGCAAGCCUGAUCCAGCCGAUGCCGCGUGAGUGAAGAAGGCCCU